rnacentral:rRNA from 1 species
UACGGAAGGCAGCAGUGGGGAAUCUUGCGCAAUGGGCGAAAGCCUGACGCAGCCAUGCCGCGUGAAUGAUGAAGGUCUUAGGAUUGUAAAAUUCUUUCACCGGGGACGAUAAUGACGGUACCCGGAGAAGAAGCCCCGGCUAACUUCGUGCCAGCAGCCGCGGUAAUACGGAGGGUGCGAGCGUUAAUCGGAAUUACUGGGCGUAAAGGGCACGCAGGCGGUUAAUUAAGUUGGAUGUGAAAUCCCCGGGCUUAACCUGGGAAUGGCAUUCAAGACUGGUUAGCUAGAGUCUUGUAGAGGGGGUAGAAUUCCAUGUGUAGCGGUGAAAUGCGUAGAGAUGUGGAGGAAUACCGGUGGCGAAGGCGGCCCCCUGGACAAAGACUGACGCUCAUGUGCGAAAGCGUGGGGAGCAAACAGGGAUUAGAUACC